rnacentral:lncRNA from 1 species
GAUUUAUCACAAAACAAUUUCUCAGGGCAGAUACCAUCAAGCAUGUCUCAGAUGAGUUUACUGAAUUACCUAGACUUGUCAUUUAAUAACUUGUCAGGGAGAAUCCCAACAAACACUCAGCUCCAGUCCUUUCAACCUUCAAGAUAUGUUGGAAACAGAGGACUAUGUGGACCUCCCCUUACCAAAAAAUGUCCUGGAGAUGAAGAAUCAGAAGCAACAUCGGUGAUUGGUAAAAGUGAGGGUGAUGGGGAAGACACAGAUGAUGAACUCGAACUCUGGGGAUGGUUUUAUAUUGGUGGGGGCAUGGGUUUUGCUACUGGAUUUUGGAUGGCAUGUGGGGCUUUACUUCUCAACCGUCGUGGGAGACAUGCAUUUUUUCAGUUUUAUGAUUAUGUGAAGAUGGUUGUGCUCACUGCAAAUUUGCAAAAGGCUAGGCAGACAUAGUUUGUAAUCUAAUUUUUUAUUUUGUCUUCUUAUUUCCCAGUGUACAAUGUAAAUUGCCAGUGGUUUUUAAUCCCCCAAUAUCAACAAAUUUGCCACUUAACACCAUGGGUGGUCAUUUUCCCCGUGUUGUAUGAAAUAAGACUCCCUUGAUGAAAAUUAGAGGUGCACAAAAAAAUGGUUUGGAAAAAGAAAAGUGGAAACCUAUUCCAACCGGUUUAAUACAAACUUAUACAGUUUGAAGCGGAACCAUCGCUUUAGUACCCUUUUGAAAUAUUAUAACAAUAGUUUCAAGCAUUUGAAAUGAUAAAAUAUUUAAUUAUUCAUUAUUUAUACAUUAAAACAAAACACCCUAUUUUGGCUUCCACACAACACUUGCCCAAACCUGUACCCCUACCAUUAAACACUUCUGAACUCGGAUCAUCUAUCUUAACAUCCUCCCGAAGAAAAGAUAUAAGAUUAUGAGCGAAUCACAUUACUGGCCAGUGGCGGACGCAAGAAUACAUAGUAGCUGUUGCCGAUACAUGAAAAAUAUCUAAAAAAGAUCGAAAUUUUUUCCACCACGUAUAAAAAGCAGAUGUUGCCGGUGCAACACUGGACCCACCCUAAAACCGCCACUGAUUAGUGGUCCCUGAUUGAAACUUAUUUUUUCAGUUUUGGUCAGGAAAAGUUUGUCUCUUGUAGUUUUGUCCAUGUUUGAGGUUUUUUUUAACAUGGUGUUCCUGUUCCAAGUAAAAUAAGUAUAUUUUUGGGCCAAAAGUGAAAUACAUUAGCUAUCGAUAAAGAUCUGGAGCCAAUCCCUUCGUUGAACAGACCAACAUGCUUAGGAUGUGGAAAGUCUAUCAGAGGAGGCUCAAGCCACGUGUCGGGGAGUGAUGCCAUGAGCUAGUUAUUUUGUUGGAAGAAUAUUAUUUAGUGGAGCAUGAUUUUGAGGUGCACGUCAAGAUUUAAUUUCCUAAAAAUAUCACUAAGGAAUGUAAUCGUCCUUGUGGCUUGGACGAGAAGAACUUCUUGAAGUUGUUUUGGUUUUUACAAUUUGAUUAAAAAUUCAUCCUCCAAUUUUCUUGUUAUUGUGUUAGCUAGGGACCUAUAAGUUUUAUAUAAAGUAAGUAUUUGAAAACCUGUUAGGACGAUCAAAAUGGCAAUAUUGUAAAUUCAUGAAAUGAUUUAGUUUUGUCAUAAUAAACUUUCAUACUACCUUUGCAUCAUCAUCAGAAAUGUGAAACGUUCUUCACAGGUGUAUAUGCAAUCCAUGGAUCUAUUACCUAACAAAUGAAAAGAUUAGGGCUGUAAACGAACGAACACAAACAAGACCUUGUUUAUGUUUGUUUAUGUUAGCCGAACAAAAGAACGGAUAAACGAACCAAUUUUCGUGUUCAUGUUCGUUCAUUUAGCAAAUACCUUGUUCAUGCUUGUUUGUUGAUGUUCAUGAACAUGCUAAACGAACAGAGAUAAACAAAAAAAAUUGAAAAUAUAUGAACCAAAACAAACAUCUAAUAUAGUAAUGUAAUAGAAAACAAUUGAACAUACAUGAACAUAAACCAACAGUAAGGCUUAAUGAGUAAUCACAACACUCAUCCCUUAUACAAAUUAUAUGCAAUACACACAAUAACACAGAAACUUCAUGAGGUAUUAAAUCACAUAUUACUUUACAUUUUUCACAUAACAUAUGCUAGCAUAACUCUAACUACUAUACAACUAGAAAUUCCCUCCUUGAGGCUAUUACUUGUUAUACAAAUCAUCCUUGUCACACUUUCCUCCGAGAGGCUAUUCGUGAUCAUACAUCUUGCUAAAGUACACUUGAACUUCCAUCCUAAAGGUAUUCUUUAGUAGUAUUGCACAUACCGACCACACUUCCCUCUAAGAGGCUAUUUGUGGUUGUACAAACAAUGAUCACAUAGUCCACAUAAUAAGAAAGCUUUUGAGAUCGCACCAGAGUAACCAAGAAGAUGAAAUCCACAAAACCAAGCUAGUGACAUCGAGUCUUCCUCUAGUCGUUACACAAUAAUUAACCCUAAUUUAAUAUUUAAAGUAAAACUUUUAUCUACACUACCUUAUCGACUCUAGGUCUAAUAAAAGCUAUUAUAUAGGAAAAAUACCAUUUUGCCCCUCCAAGACCCAAAUUCAACACAUCUGACCAAAAGUCAAACCUGGUCAAAAAGUUAACAGUCCACGUCAUCUCGCAACGACCAACAAUGUGGUGCUACUGCUAGGAGACAAGAUAGUCGCGAUGCUCAAACAUCAUGGCAUGACUACACCUCAUAUCGUGAUGCGAUUUUGGCAAAACACCCAACUUCCAACUAAGUUCUUAAUCCUUUAAGACCUAAGCUCUAAACCUCCAUAACAUAUCAACACAUAGUCCUAAUGGAUAAAGUUUCCAACUUUAUCCAUAUGCAUGCCCUUAACAUCAUCAUACCAAGUCUAGGUCAAAAUGACACCAAAAAUCUCAUAAACUCAUGCAUGGACCGAACGACAAGAUGAAGUUCUCAUCUUUUUUACCAAAAUAGGUCCAAAAGACAUAAAAAUACAACCUUUAAGGCGUUCCUCAAACAUCAACCAAGUAACCAAAGUAUGCACAAAAUCAUAGAUCUAGACCUAAUGGCUCCCAAAGCUUUAAGCUUAAACACUUACAAUGGUCCAAAAGAUAUCCAAAAAGUUAAAUUUGACUUACUUCUUGAUUCACAAGAUGCACUCCCUUCUCCUUCGAGGUGUGUAAAGAAACACGAGAGGCUACAAUCAAAGGAGAGAGAGGCUAGGGUGUGCUCCCAAAGGAUCUCUAAUGUGAUGGGGACUGCAAUUGACCUAAUUCUAGGAGAUAAAGCCUUUAAAUAUGGGAUAAAACCCUAAUUUCAUAGGCUUAAACUACACAGACUUCACAUCGUGACUCACUCAUUUCGCGUCGCGAACGUCUUAAUCCAGUAAGGCCAAAAAUUAACUUAAUACCAAAUUGCUUUUCAGGCCAAAACUAAACCUGUAGUCGAAAGUCUUAUACCUUUAGCCCUAAAACCUCAUUCCUUAAUGUCCAAUCUUCAUCCCUUAAGACCCAGGAUCCCUUCAUGAUUAAAUUCAAGUCUAGUUUUCCAACAAAAGAAACAUCCUGAAACCAGAUGUUACAAGUCAAACCGCCAUUUUAGCGCCAAGAUGAAUGGUAACUUCAUUCUAACGACCAUCUUCAUUGUAUAAAAGGAAGAUGGAUGUUCCAUGCAAACAUUACAACUUUCAUACUUGAAAAUUGAUUACUUUGCAUUUCCAUGUCUCUUUGAAAACACAAAAGUAUUGUGUGUUUCUAAUUCUAAUAAGGUAUGUAAUCAAAAUUGAAGUUACUGGAUUAUCUCACUUUUGAAUCUGUGUACCCUAGGCAAUAAGGGCGAAUUACAUAUUUCGGAAAAUGAUAGAAUCAUGAUCCUUCAAACAUCCAAUUCAAAUUGUUAUUCGAAAUUCCUUGAAAUCUAACAUACCAAAUUUGUAAUUUUGUGAAGGAAUAAAAAUGAUCUGUGAGGGACAUGAGUUUUAAUUUCAGUAAACUGGAAAAGUUUGAAGGCAGUGACAUACUUUCGUUUUUGGCAAAAGAAGAUACAUUUCCUUCUCACCACUCUGAUAGUUGUUAAUGUUCUAACCACUUUGUACCAGAACAAAUGGAAAAUGGAACCAUUAAACAUAUCAAAAGAAGAUGAAAAGUGGGACAAUAAUGAUUACAUAUUUCGUGGGAACAUCUUGAAUGGUAUGUCUGGCUCUCUAUUUGAUCUAUAUCAAAAUCACAAAUCUACAAAAGAUCUUUGGGAUGUCCUUGAAUCCAAAUACAAGAUAGAGUAUGGUUUUAGUAAAAAGUUCAUUUUGAGUAAUUUCAACAAUUAUAAAAUGGUGGAUUCAAGGCCUGUCAUGGAACGAUACAAGAUUUAAUACAAGACCAUUAAGAACACAGUUCCUAUACAAGAAAUCAAAAUGUUUCCAAGCUUCAACAACACUCAAAUCUUGCACAUCUCCUUCUCCAUCAUGCACCCUUGGAGCCCCUUCAGUUAAGAAUCUAGCAAGAUUCAAUGUGGUAAGGUAGAGGAGCAUCUUUUGCUACCACCUUUUAAAGUGCAACGUACCUAAAAAAAUGUUUAUGGCGUCUCUCCAUGAUUAACUGAGACAGUCAUAGUUGGAGCUCCUUGAGAGUUAGGAGUACUAGUAGGCUUUGAGUUUGAGUUUUCAGCAGUCAUGUUACACAUAUAAACCAACAGUUUUAGUUAAACCAAAAUAAUCAGUUAAAGAUUAGUGCAUAAUCACAAAAUGUAUAAGAACUAUGAAUAUAUCCUAAGAUUCUUGUUAAAUCCAUUUGUUCGGUUGCCAUAUGUGUGCGAUUAUGCAUUUUUGUAUCAUACAAAACCCUAAUGUACAUCUUACAUCGGUCCAUUAUUGGAAAAAAAAACAUGCUUGUGUCACGUCAUUGGAUAUACGUUGAAACAAAUAUUUAUGCAUGCCAAAUACAUAAUUAUUGUGCACAAUUUCAAGUAUGAUCGUCAGAUAGCCUUGAUUACCUCGAGUGUUUUAACCAAAAGUGCUUUAAGGUAAUUUUCCUAUUCCCAAUGGAGGAAAUCCAAGCUUUCUAACAUUCCAUGGAGGCUAUGUAGGUUUGUAUGAUGAGCAUGAUAUUGUUGGAUGUCAUUAUAAAUAGGCUUACACAAAUAGUGUGGACCGUACAACUUCAUGACGUACUAGCUAAAUUUGUGAAAAGUUUCUCGUGUUGUACAUGGAGACUUCCUAAGAUUCUCGUUAAAUCCAUUGGUUAGGAUGCCAUAUGUGUGCGAUUUUGCAUUUUUGUAUCAUACAAAACCCUACUGCACCUCUUGCAUUUGAAUUUUAUUGGAAAAAUGAACAUGCUCCUGUCACAUCUUCAAAUAUACGUUCAAACAAAUAUUUAUGCAUUCAGAACCAUCAUCGAAAAAGUACCCUUGAAAAACCGCAUGUUCGUCAAAAUAAGCAUGCAUGAGAUGUUGCUAGGCAGCUUCACGGUCUCUAUGCAUAUUUUUUUGCCUCACGUUUUCAGCUUCCUUAUUUCUUAAUUCUUUAACCGUGCUCUCUAUCGCUCUAUCAAUGUUCGCUAGCUGCUGCUCGUAGUACCAUGUCAAAAAUUGCCAAAAUACAAAACGAGAAAUCGAAACCCAGAAGUAGAUGAUUUUAACUUCUAAAAUCAAAAACCGAUAUUACAAUUUCUAUUAUGAUUUUACUUAGAAAUCGAACCAUUUUCACACUUGGCAGUUAAAAUCUCUUUCAUGAUCACAAAUUAGAUAGAAUUCUAUAAAAAAAAAAAAAAAAAAAAAAAAAAAAAAAAAAAAAAAAAAAAAAAAAAAAAAAAAAACUUAACAUAUACGGUUUUUGAAUGUUCUUUUAAUAUGAACGGUUUUUCUAAGAUAUUUUAAAAUUUCAUUUUUUAAUAUUAAUUUGUUUUUUAGGAUAUUACAGAAUUCUGAAUAUAUUUUUUUUUGAAAGAAUAGCUGAAAAUAUAAAUAUUAUAAUGAAAAUUUCUAAAAAGAAAAAACUAAUAAAACCACAAAAACUUAUAUAAGAACUAAAAGUUUACAAAACCAUUGAGUUAAUUCAUAGUAAAAUUUUUGUGUUAUCUAUAGAAAAGUUGUUUGAUAAAUCAUAAAUCAUCCAAGGAUUUUGGACGGAGAUAUAAUUUCUAACCAUCUCCCUCGUCGUCGCCACCGCCCACCAUUGUCAUGUUGUUUGUUCUCCAUCAGCUAAAUUAUCUCAGCGCAUUUGUUCUUGUGUUCUGUACUAUCUAUCUGUUUUUGAAUGGUGGCGUUAUGUUUCUGUUAAAGAUUUUAUAUUCAACGUCACUUUUUAUAUAGAGACCUAAAUAUAUCAUUUCUGUUUUCAUAGGCAGACUUGUAUUCAAUUUCAUUAGUCUGUUUUUUUUUUAUUUAUAUCACAUAACAUUAGGGAGGCCUCAAAAAGUACCACACGAUUGAAAAAGGUAUCUAUAAUAAAUACAAAUUUCUUAGACUUGAAAGUCUUUGAACGUCUAAUUUGGGGCAAUUAAUUCCGAUGCUUCAUCUUUCAUGGAAUUGCAUAGUGGAUGGCCCACACAAGCAGACACCAAUUUGAGCCACCCACCCACUUAGAAUCCUUCAUGUUCACACUUCACAGUGGAGAAUCCACCAAUUUGAUCCACCCAUUGUAACAACCCGAAGUUUUUCAUCGCCGAAAACCCAUUUUACCCGUAUAACUCGCCGUAUAUCGAAACGUUCCGAUGUCGUUUUUGGGUUAAGUUAAUCAAACUUAUAUGUUUAAUUGAUGCUAAUGAGUGUCCAAACCUCUUAGGAACUCAUGAAUUUAGCCCAAAAUAGUUAUUUCAAAAAUCUUAGAAACGUUCCCGCCUAGUAACGGAAACUUAAUCGGGUGAGACCAAAAGCCCCGUUUAAUGCCGGUAUCGGGUAGAAUUCCACCGUGUCCAAGUUUUGCAACCUAUAUAAACGUGUUAAACAUUUCAUUUGAAGCUUUUUCUCUCUCUCUCUCACUACUCUCUCUCUCUAACCUCUCUCCUAAAUCUAAAUUCAAGGGUCCAAAACUCAAUUUUAAGGCCUCAAAUCCCUAAGGUACCUUCCUAAACUUAAUGUAUAGCAUAUUUGACUUCCAAAUUCGGGAUUUAAUCAUGAAAUAAGGCCUUGAAUGUGAGUUUACGGCCUUGGUAGAAGCUUAGGCCGUAAACACAUAGUUAAGGGGUUUUUAAGCCCUAAAACCCUUCCAAACCACAACUAGACUUUAGAUAUGGCUAAAUGACUUCAUGGAAUGGACUUAAAACAUUUUAGACAUGGAUUUUGAGGGAUUUGAAGGAGUUUACGGCCAAGGCACAUGCUUGGGCCGUAAACUCAUAUAUUUGGGGUUUUUAUGACCUUAAACCCUUCCAAAACACUAAUAAGGCUUAGAUAUGAAUUUUAGAAUAUUGGUUUUAGCCUUAGAACACCUUAAACAUAUUAUUUGAGGGACAAUUGAGAGUUUACGGCCAAGACUUAUGCUUGGGCCGUAAACCCUUCGUAAUGGGGUGUUUCCGUGACUAAAAGUUUUGUACCUAACAAUUAAAUAAUCUAAGUCCUAAUUAGAUACAAAUGUGUAUCUUUGCAUUAUACUUAGGAACCUCGUGCGUUUGCAAGUCCCAAACCAACGUUUAACACCCGAAAUCGUCACAUUUCUCGUCCGGUGAGUUCAUACCCCUACGUUUUUUCCGUGAUUUUAAUGUUUUCGGGGGGGAAUACAAGCAAACUAGAACUGUUUUCAAAACAUAACAUUGAUGUGUUUCAAAUAAUAUCUGGCAAAUUUAUAAACACUUUUACUCCUUAUGUAUUAUGCUGAGCAUAAGGGAUGAUCUAUCAACUACAACUAAAUGGAUUUUAGUUAAGAAAAUAACCAAACUAAUCAAAUUAUUAUGGGAAUAAUUUGGGGGUUCUUUAGUUCUCGUUUUAUCAUGUACUGAUAUGUGUAUAAAGUUAUUAGAUAAACUAUGUCUGAUUCAGUUUAUCUCUAUAUCAUUUGAAUGUAUUGCCAGAUAGUUUCAUUGUAUGUAUCUAUAUUCACUGUAUUAUGUUUCAUAAUCUUUUGUAUGUUUGAUAUCGUAUGAGAACCCUGUGAAUAGUUUAGUACUAGUUUGUGAGUUAGUCACUACCCUUUAUGGAUGAUCAGUAAAUCCUCCCCGGAAGUGUAACCAGAGUCUCCUGGAGGGAGAGCGAGGAAUUUGUGAAUAGAUCUAUUCGGGACUGACAAUCCCACACCUUAACUGCUAGCUACAGUUAGGCGGGCACGCCUGGGGUGACAAAUUCUGGAUAUCGUCCGACGUCUGACAAGCGUCAAGGAGGUCUCGUUGUCGUAUCAGCAUGGUUACCCGACUCACAAUACGUAUUAAUAUAAGUUUAUUCACGGCUUUGGUUUUGGAUAUAUAUCUAGUACGGGAUGGUAAUCCCAUGGUUUUUAGUCUAUAGGUUUCAUAUCUAUUGCAGGAUGUUAUUCCUAUGGUUAGAAUCUAUAUCUAGUUCGGGAUAGUGAUCCCAUGGUUUUAUCAAAAUAUCUUAUAUCUAGUUCGGGAUAGUAAUCCCAUGGUUUUAUCAAAAUAUCUUAUAUCUAGUUCGGGAUAGUAAUCCCAUGGUUUUAACAAACUAUCUUGUAUCUAGUCCGGGAUGAUAGUCCCAUGGUAUUAAAUCUAUAUGUAGUACGGGAUGUUAGUCCCAAGGUUUUCAAACUAUUUUCCAUCUACAGUUCACGUAUAUUAAAGUAUUUUAUAUCUAAUUCGGGAUAGUAAUCCCAAGAUUCUCAAUAUAUAGUUUUAUGUAUUAAACUAUACUCUGUGAUAUUCAAUCGGUCUUGUAAUUAGGAAAAUAUGGGAUUUUCCUGGGGUAGCGUAUAACGCGUAAUUGAACUGUAAUGAAGGAUAACUAAACUGUUUUACAUAAGAAAAUAUGGGAUUUUCUUGGAUAACAAACCUUUUCGGAAAACUAAAGGAAACUGGUACAUUUUUCAGCAAACAAACAUCUUAUGACCUCACCAGCUUUAUGCUGAUUUUCAAACCGCUUGUAUUCUCAGGUCCACGUUAGACAGGUACCCGGCGAUAUCUUUUGGAGAAGACGGAGUGCUCAGAAGACUCGUCUCAACUUUUGUUCAUAUGAUAUAUGUAUAACACUUGUACAGUUUACUUUUGAAACAAAUGUAAACUUUCAAAUAUAUGUAAUGUAAUGGUUGUUUACUGUGAUUACUAUGUACAUUGGAUUUGAUACUCAACGUGGAGUCAACCCCGGAAAUGUUUCCGCCUUUGGUUUUCGGGGUGUGACACCCAUGGAGGUACUUCAUAUAGCAGGAAUCAAUACAAUCCAAAAGUCAUCAAGAUAUUCAUUUACAUUUACAUUAUGAAUCCUUGUGUUUCUAUAAUGUUCUCAUUUCUCUUGCUCCUCCUUCUGACUACAACUGCCAGCCAAUUGGUAGCAGUGGGAGAAGGGAGGAAAUGAUACAAACGGUGUCAUGAACAAGUGUUUGGAUAAGGAGAGAAAUGAUCUCCUUCUUUUCAAAGCUCCCCUUCAACACCAUGAUGAUAGUCUCUCUACAUGGAGAGCUGAUGAACAUGACUGCUGUAAAUGGAGUGGAGUCAUGUGCAGCACCCAAACAGGUCAUGUCACAGAGCUUUACAUUUCCGGUUGUAGUUUUGUAGGUGAGAUAAGCCGUUCAUUGCUUAACCUAACCUACUUGAAUAUUCUUGAUCUUUCCUACAAUUCUUUUCAUGUAACCAUUCCCACCUUCAUUGGUUCCUUGACUGAGCUAAGUUACCUUGAUCUUUCCUACAGUUCUUUCAAUGGAACCAUUCCCAGGUGCAUUGGUUCCUUGAGAGAAUUAAGGCAAAUUGAUCUUUCAAAUAACUCUCUUUAUGGAACCAUUCCUCCAGAGUUUGGAAACCUCACCAACUUGCAAUACCUUGACCUUUCAAAUGUUGGAAGGUGUAGAGUUGAAAACAUAGAGUGGUUGUCUCAUCUCUCUCUUUUGGAGGAUCUGAGAAUGGAUGGGAUUUCCCUAGCCACAACAAAUCAUUGGGUAGAUGCCAUUCUGAGUCUCCCAAAACUAACACAUUUAUCUUUAGGUGGAUGUGAGCUGUCACAGGUCGUGUAUCCAUAUUCUUCUUCAUUUCUCAACUCUUCUUCUUCUUCUUCAUCUAUUGAGUCCCUUCAUCUUGGAAACAACAAUCUCAACUCAUCCAUGUAUCGCUGGUUGCUCCCAUUAACCACCAAUAACCUCUGUUCUCUUGAUCUCUCUGGCAACAUGUUAGAUGGUAUACCCAAAUAUCUUGGUAACCUCUGUAGUUUGGUAAGUUUGAACUUCAGUGACAACUCUGCCAUUAUCAAAUUUCUUGAUUUUCUCACCAACUUGUCUGGAUGUACAUCGCUUACAUUAGCAGAUUUGAGUGCUUAUGGAAGCCAAUUUACAGGGUCAUUGUCCGAUGAGAUCCAAAAGUUUUCGUCCCUAGAUUAUUUGGACCUAUCUGAUAAUCACUUAAAUGGAAGUAUAAGUGAGAAACUGUGGGAACUACCCUGGCUCCAAACCCUUGACCUUUCUUUUAAUAAUCUUAGAGUUCCUUCCACAUAUCACUUGUCAAACAUCUCUUAUGUUAAAUAUCUUGAUCUGAGCUCUUGCAAGCUGCUAGGGCCUCGCUUCCCCAAAUGGAUUCACACAUUCAAAAAUCUUUACCAUCUUGAUCUUUCUAAUACUGGAAUUUCAGACACAAUUCCUUUGGAGUUUUGGGACGUGUGGCCUUAUCCUUUAACAUAUCUGAAUCUCUCUUCCAACAAUAUUAGUGGGAAAGUGCCAGAUUUAUUUUUAAUCUUUGACGCAUAUUCAGUGAUAGAUUUGAGUUCCAACAGCUUUUAUGGUCCAAUACCGAAAUUCUCUUUCGAAAUGGAAUCAAUAAAUCUUUCCAGAAACAAAUUCUCUGGAGGAAUCUCUUUCAUAUGCCAAGCUGUUUAUGGAUUCUUAUUAUUUCUUGACCUCUCUCAUAACUCAUUAAGUGGACAACUCCCGGACUGUUUGUGGAAUUUCGAUUCCCUAACAGUUCUUAAUCUGGGACACAACAAUUUCUUUGGUAGGCUUCCUCCCUCCAUUGGAUCUAUGAUACAACUCCAGGUGUUGUAUUUAUACGAUAACAACUUCUCUGGAGAAUUGUCUUUCUCUUUAUAAAAUUGCACGAGUUUAAUCUCGUUGGAUUUGGGGGCCAACAAGUUUUCUGAUAACGUGCCUGUCUGGAUUGGGGAAAACUUAUCAGGGUUGAAUGUUCUUAUCCUAAGAUCAAACAAAUUCUUUGGAACCAUCCCUUUAGAAUUAUGUCACUUAGCAAAUCUUCAAAUUCUGGACUUGUCAAUGAACAGUCUCCAUGGAAGCAUCCCCUCAUGUUUGAGUAAUCUUACCAGCAUGCUUCACCAAGGAGGAUUCUCACAAGAUGUAUUGUUUUAUGAAAGAAUAAGAGGUUAUGCAACUAGAGCGGGGAUAUAUGUCGACCAAGCACUGAUCGAGUGGCAAGGAGUUGAACGUGAAUUCUUUAGCACUUUGAAAUUGUUGAAGGCCAUUGACCUGUCAAGCAACAAUUUAACAGGACAAAUCCCAUAUCAAAUUACCAAUCUUUCUGACUUGAUUGCCCUCAACCUGUCAAAGAACGAGUUAUCUGGAGAGAUUCCACAGAAAAUUGGUGAGAUGAUAAAUCUUGAGAUUUUGGAUUUAUCCAGAAAUAGUUUUUCGGGGCGGAUACCAUCAAGCAUGUCUCAUAUGAGUUUCCUGAAUUACCUAGACUUGUCAUAUAAUAACUUUUCAAGGAGAAUCCCAACUAGCACUCAACUCCAGUCCUUUCAACCUUCAAGAUACAAUGGAAAUGCACAUUUAUGUGGACCCCCCCUAACCAAAAAGUGUCCUGGAGAUGAACCAGAACUACCACCCAUCAUUGGUAAAAGUGAGGGUAAUAGGGAAGACACAGAUGAUGAACUCAUGGGAUGGUUUUAUAUUGGUGGGGGGAUGGGUUUUGUUACCAGAUUUUGGAUUGCAUGUGGGGUUUUACUUUUCAACCGACGUGGGAGACAUGCAUUUUUUCAAUUUUAUGAGAGCUUCAAGGAUUGGGUUUAUGUGAAGGUGGUUGUGUUCAUUGCAAAUUUGCAAUAGGCUAGACAGCAGUAGUUUGUGAUCGAGUUUGUAUUUUUGACUUCUUAUUUUCCAUUAUGUAAUGUAAUGUAAUUUGGC